rnacentral:rRNA from 1 species
GACAGAGGGUGCAAACGUUGUUCGGAAUUACUGGGCGUAAAGCGCCUGUAGGCGGCCAAGCAGGUCGGAUGUGAAAUCCCUCGGCUCAACCAAGGAAGUGCAUUCGAAACCGCAUGGCUCGAGUCCCGGAGAGGAAGGUGGAAUUCUCGGUGUAGAGGUGAAAUUCGUAGAUAUCGAGAGGAACACCGGUGGCGAAAGCGGCCUUCUGGACGAGGACUGACGCUGAGAUGCGAAAGCGUGGGGAGCAAACAGG